rnacentral:lncRNA from 1 species
AUUAAGACCCCAUGUUAUUUUCUAAUUUCCAGUUAGCAAACCCACUGAUUUCAUUUUUUAAUCCCAAAGUGUAUGGGCAGCCUGAAUAUUAAUUUCAGGCGUGCCUGUAGCACAUGGGCUUCACUCAUGACUUCUUAAUCCUAUGUUUACUAGUCUGAAACUAUCCUAUAUAAACUCAUACUUAAGAUUGAUUUCAGAUUGAAUUGAUAUACUGCUGCAGCUAUUCGUAAAACAAACGAUUCAUGCUUCUCUAAUUUUCAGUGAAUUCAAUUGACGACAUUCAUUUAAUUGACUAUGUGGAUUACAACAGGUAACUAUCAACCAAUUAAACAAGAUGCAUCAUGCAGGUUAGAGGAUUUCAGUGACUUUCAUUAGGAACCUAAUUCGAACUAAGCUAUUCUAACUCUGAACAAAUUGAAUUACAUAGCUUGCAAUAACAAUAGAUAACCAGCAAACAGAAGAAAAUGACCAAAUAAAAGUCUUAUGGAGAUGAACAGAACUUGAAAGAAAAAAUAUAAUAAAAUCACAUCAAUCAAACUAACAUGCCAACAACACAAAUACACAUAAAUAAGAAAAGGGAAAGAGAAUACAUAGCUUUUC